rnacentral:rRNA from 1 species
AUUGAACGCUGGCGGCAGGCCUAACACAUGCAAGUCGAACGAGCGGCGGACGGGUGAUUAAUGUAUGGGGACGUCCCGAGAGAUGGGGAUAACUACUGGAAACGGUGGCUAAUACCGCAUACUAUCGGAUAACCCAUAUGGGAUUAGCUAGUAGGUGGGGUAAAGGCUCACCUAGGCGACGAUCUCUAGCUGGUCUGAGAGGAUGAUCAGCCACACUGGGACUGAGACACGGCCCAGACUCCUACGGAGGCAGCAGUGGGGAAUAUUGCACAAUGGGCGCAAGCCUGAUGCAGCCAGGCCGCGUGUAUGAAGAAGGCCUUAGGGUUGUAAAGUACUUUCAGCGGGGAGGCGUUACUCGCAGAAGAAGCACCGGCUAACUCCGUGCCAGCAGCCGCGGUAAUUC